CCGUGCCGCGCAUCAAGUAGUCGCUCCCUUCUUCAUUUUUUUUCGUGUUGCUGCUGUCGCUAUGGACGGCUGCUGGGCUCCAUCAACCUCAUUCUGUGCGUCUCCGCCUCUCCCCUCUCCCCCCCCCUCCAAAGGACUGACUGAUUCUCUGCCCUGCUGCUUCCCUCACGAGCGAGAUGCUACUGAAGCACAUCGAUAACGUGGAAGAGCGCUUCGACCAGGCGCUGCAGCGCGUGCGCGACGGGGUGCGCCGCCGCGACGCCGCCCUCAACGACAUCCGCCAGUCCAUCCACGCCGAGAGCGAGCUUCACACGUCUCUGCGUGAGAUCAGCAACGUGCAGUACAGGCUCAUGCCGCAGUACGUGCACCGCAGCGCAGCACUGGCGCGCACCGUCGCGGCGAACGCGUCGCUGGCAGAACGCAGCUCGAAGCGGGUGCGACGGCUUGACGCGCUGCUACAGCGCGUGCAGCAGACGUGUGCCAUCGUGGACGCCAUGAAGGCAAUGGAGAACGACGCGGCCCAGGUGUCGUCUGUCCUGGACUCUGGAGACAUUGACAAGAUACUUCAGCUCCUGCACUCGUACGAGGCGGCACAGCGUGUGCUGACCUCAGCCUCUCCAGCCACUGUCGUUGCUGUGGAGGCGAAGGCAUCAGAGACGGGCACUGGCGGAGGCGCGUCCUUGUCAGCGCCGUCAUCAGCGGCGGUCGAAGUGUCGAACGCGGCACCCGUCAGCGACGUCAUGCGCCACGCUCGAGCGACCGUGCAGGCGCGCCUGCUCAGGAUGAUUGAGGACGCCGUGCAGGUGAACGACAAGCUGGCGAUCAUGAAGGGGACGAAGCUGCUAGCGGAGCUGGGCGAGGGCGCAGUGGCGUCGCGGCUGUACAGCGACUGGAUCGCUGAUCACACGAUUGCCGCGCUGGCAAAGCUGAUCGAUGGCGAAAUGAGAAAGAUGGAGGACUCAGCGACGGUGGCCAUGACGCACCUCGCACUCGUCUCGCAGUGCCUCGACAACGUCGCCGCCGCGUUCGAGAGCGACGAGGAGUUCACGUAUGAAGCCUUCGGCGCGCAGGGGCCGCUGGUGCUGCUGGCGAAGCUGCACAGCCGCGCCACUGCCCGAUGUGUGCCGGUGCUGAGCGACUUUAUCGAGCGCCGCAAGGACGUGCUGGCUCAGCUGGAGAAGCACGCGUUGGCCGGCGACGGUGUCAGUAGUGUCUCUCGCGUGUCGACAACGUCCAUGAACGCCGCUGCUGGUGCCAACGUCAACGCAGUGGUAGCCAGUGCCCGCCGCGCGGACCAGAUUCUAGAGGAGAUCAGCCACAUGGUGUCGUGCGGACAUAUCUACCUCACCUUCGUGGAGCGCAAGCAGACGGAGUACGAGAAGCGGAUGAAGGCGUCAGGUGCGGCGGCGGCAGCGGAGAGCGGCAGGGAGGAGUCAACCUCGAUGGCAGCCGCGGGCGAGGUCGUCGUGGGCAGCACCGCCGACAACCUCUGGCGCACCAGUGACAACGCCCUCCUCAACUCCAUGCAGGACAUCCUAGCCGUCUACGUGCCGCUGCAGACGGCGUACUUCACGAUCGCCUACGACCAAGCGGUCGACCUGCAGCUGCGUGCGAUCCGUGACGCCGCCAAGGAGGCGGCAGCCGCGGCAGCGCGUGCCGGCGGUGGUGGUGCUUCGCGUACUGCGGCAGGAACUCGGCACGGCAACGCGCCAGCUGCACUCGUUUCUGCGCCAUCGGCGGCGAGCUUCAUGUCGGGUCUGCAGAGUCUGUACAUGGUUGCCGCCAGCAGCGCUGACGAGCUCAUCGCCUCUGUCGGCGUCGGCGGAGGAUCCGCUAGCGCUGCGGGCGGUGGCGCCUCUGCGGCGGCUUCGGAGGAGCUCGCGUCGUUCUGGUACUUCACCCACAACGGCCAAGUCACUCUGCCCGACGACGUCUUCUUCGUGCUUCGCAUGGCCAUCCACCGCGCCAUGAACACCAAGUCGGCGCAGAUCUGCUCCGCUGCGGUCAUAUCCGCCAUGGACGUGGUGCAGUUGCGGCUCCUGCCAGAGAUCGAGUCGCACACGGUGAUCGCGGGCACAAGUAGCCACGCCGGGGCCGGCGGCGCGGCGUCUAAUUCGUCUGCUGCCGGGGGCCGGCGCCGUGCCGGCGCAGCACCGCACGGCGGCUUCCUGACACCUGACGAGCUACACUGGACCGGCGCGGCGCAGCGGACUGCGACGUACCUGCAGCGCAUGGCUGACGAACUGCAGCAGCUGGGUGAGGCGACCUUCUCCGCGACGCCGCACGAUGUGACGCGCUUCCGCGAACUUGCUGGCAACAUGCGCACGCUGGGAAGGACUCUGCAGGAAAAGCUAAUCCCUGCCUGGCUCGAUGCCUUCGCAGACGUGUGCUGCGACAGCGUUCUGCCGCCGCACAUGGAGCGCUUCGCCGCCGUUUCUUAUGACAUGAAGGAGGAGGUGUACUACCACUACGAGCUCAACGACGUGUGGGUGCAGGCGUGCUUGGUAGACCUCGGCGCCGGGCUUCAGUACCUCCAUCAGCACCUGGCAGAUGCGAAGCUGUUCGAUGCGCUACUCACGGCGAUGGCGCGGCGGGUGGCGAAGGGGACAAGCAGCGUGCUGCUCCGUAAGCGCGUCAGCCUCUUCGGCGCGCUUCAGGUAGACAAGGACGUGCGUGCGCUGCGGAGCUUCUUUGUGGAGCGGGCGCAGAACGAUCUCACCCCAAUCCGCGACGCGUUUACAGUUCUCAGCUUGAUGGCGACGCUGCUGCUCUCCGACAAGCCGACAGACGCACUGGAGGAGGCGGCGAACACGGCACUGACGGCGGACGAGAAGAAGAAGGUGCUGCUGACGCGCGUUGAGUUCCGCAAGGAGGCGGUGAUGGCGCUGCCGUUGUGACGUCUUGGUGAACGUGCCUGCGUGUCCGGGCUUAUGUUCAUCUGUGUCGCUUCUUUGCGUUGUGUGCACGCAUGCGUGCUCUGACUCUUUCACUGCGUCUGCGUCUGCGUCUGUGGUCGAUGCGAGUUGCUGUUAUGCGGUACUGAUGCACGCGUGUGCGCCUUU
rnacentral:misc_RNA from 1 species